GACGAACGCUGGCGGCGUGCCUAAUACAUGCAAGUCGAACGCUGAAGGAGGAGCUUGCUCUUCUGGAUGAGUUGCGAACGGGUGAGUAACGCGUAGGUAACCUGCCUGGUAGCGGGGGAUAACUAUUGGAAACGAUAGCUAAUACCGCAUAACAGUAGAUGUUGCAUGACAUUUACUUAAAAGGUGCAAUUGCAUCACUACCAGAUGGACCUGCGUUGUAUUAGCUAGUUGGUGGGGUAACGGCUCACCAAGGCGACGAUACAUAGCCGACCUGAGAGGGUGAUCGGCCACACUGGGACUGAGACACGGCCCAGACUCCUACGGGAGGCAGCAGUAGGGAAUCUUCGGCAAUGGACGGAAGUCUGACCGAGCAACGCCGCGUGAGUGAAGAAGGUUUUCGGAUCGUAAAGCUCGGUUGUAAGAGAAGAACGAGUGUGAGAGUGGAAAGUUCACACUGUGACGGUAUCUUACCAGAAAGGGACGGCUAACUACGUG
rnacentral:rRNA from 1 species